CUGCUGGGGGGCGACGUGGUGCACGUGGCCGUCGAUGCCGGCGGCCGUGAGGAUGAGGUGCUCACCGGAGAUGGCGUCGGUGCUGGCGCCGGUGCAGAGAGUGGGGGUGACGCCCUUCAUCACGUUGGGGUUGCCGGCCUUGCCGAUGCCGGCUAUCUUGCCGUCCUUGAUGCCGACGUCGGCCUUGACGACGCCCAAGACGGGGUCGAGGAUGGUGACGUUGGUGAUGACGGUGUCGAGGCUGCCCUCCUUGCCGGUGAUAGUGUUGGCCAGGCCCAUGCCGUCGCGC
rnacentral:sRNA from 1 species